UACGUAGGGGGCAAGCGUUGUCCGGAUUUAUUGGGCGUAAAGAGCGUGUAGGCGGCUGGUCAAGUCCGAUGUGAAAUCUCCCGGCUCAACUGGGAAACUGCAUCGGAAACUGAUCGGCUUGAAGAUGGGAGAGGGUAGUGGAAUUCCGGGUGUAGUGGUGGAAUACGUAGAUAUCCGGAGGAACACCAGCGGCGAAGGCGGCUUUCUGGUCCGAUUCUGACGCUGAGGCGCGAAAGCGCGGGGAGCGAACAGG
rnacentral:rRNA from 1 species